AGAAUGGGAUCGAGUUUGUACGAUCCGGCUGUUUUUGACAGGCGCGCCCAAUGGCCUCGAUAUUCCAGCGCGAUGCUUAUGGAAUAGCCGGCUUCCAACUUUCUUCCACACGCGGGAGCCGGCGGACCGUCGCCAUUUGUCAGCAGGAUCACGAGAUCCUCGGCUCCAGCCAUUCUCAGGCGUCUCUCCAACCGGCCAACGAAUUCAUGAUCGAGUUUUCCGACCCCUCCGGCAAGUUCCUCGUCCAAUGCCUCGCGCACCAUUGCCGCAGCCUUGCGCCGCAUCGCAAUCUCAUGUUCAUCGUUCCCUGGCUGGAAGACAGCAUCCGAUUCCACGUUGACCAACUCGAGAGUUCCUGCUCGCAACGCCUUUGAGAGAUCGUAGGGCAGCUGCCCUGCAUCGAGCACACCGACUUUCGUCCAGCCGCGUUCUUCCGCGAUUUCACCCAGUGGCUUCG
rnacentral:misc_RNA from 1 species